CACCAUGAGCACCACCACAGAAACAUUGCAAAAAUACUACAAAAACACCUCAAAAAUCACCACAAAAUGCUACAAGACCACCACAAGAUGAGGCACUAAAUUCAAUUCACAAGAUCACCCAACAUGACAAUCAAUGUCAGGUUAUAAGAUUACAAAUCACCUAAAUACCCAACAUCACAAUCAAAAUCCAAUUCACAAAAUCUCCCAACAUCACAAUAAAAUCAGGUCACAAGAGUACAACAAAAUCACCACAAAAUUCCUGUACCAAAAUUACUGCAGUAAGGACCAUUUCAAUUUUUGGAACUUGUAAUUGAUUCACACGAGAUUGUGCUAUAACAAGCAAUUUUCUCACUCCAUGAACUGAUCUCAUUUACAUUCAUAGGCAAAAACCCACCAUCCAUGCCCAGUUACCCAAGAACUCAUUCCCUCUAUCUCUAGAAGAACCAAAUCAUUCAAGCUUACUAAAUGACCUGACCCCGAAUUUAUACCCACGAAAACCAGGUUCUCCUCAAUCAGAUCGUGAGUUUGAGUCAUUAUAUGAGAAACCAAGCUGCUCGUGGUAGAGAUAUCAACAAUGACAAUGGAGAUGGUGCGUGCGGGAUCGUUUGUUGGAGGAGGCUCAUUUCCGGGUACUGUCGUCGACUAGGACAUUGCGUUAGGGCUAUCGUGAAUCCAGUAUCGACGACACGACUUGCAAAAGUGGCGAGGCUGUGACAGUUUCAAUUGUUGUAGUGUAGAAAUUUGAUAGUGGGCGGCAGUUGACGGUGAUAAGGUUGAGCCGUAAAGAGGAAAGAGACGGAGAGUAAAACUAAGAGCGAGAGAUGAGAGAGGGUAAUUUUAAUUUUGAUUAAACACCUGAUUAAUGCAUAAGCAAAUUGUAUAUCUUAUUUUUGAAUUAUCAUAUUUAAAAACCGGUUGGUG
rnacentral:lncRNA from 1 species